rnacentral:rRNA from 1 species
GCGAACGUUAGCGGCGCGCCUAACACAUGCAAGUCGCACGAGAAACGGAGCAAUCCGCGGUACAGUGGCGCACGGGUGAGUAACACGUGGAUGACCUUCCCUGGAGUGGUGGAUAACCUGCCGAAAGGCGGGCUAAUACAGCAUGGGACCACGACGCUUUGGCGAUGUGGUGAAAGCGGGCCUCUAUAUAUAAGCUCGCGCUCCGGGACGGGUCCGCGUCCCAUCAGCUAGUUGGUGAGGUAACGGCUCACCAAGGCAACGACGGGUAGCUGGUCUGAGAGAAUGGCCAGCCACACUGGAACUGAGACACGGUCCAGACUCCUACGGGAGGCAGCAGUGGGGAAUCUUGCGCAAUGGGCGAAAGCCUGACGCAGCGACGCCGCGUGGGCGAAGAA